AGGUAAGCUACUAAGAGCGAAUGGUGGAUGCCUUGACUGGUAAAGGCGAUGAAGGACGUACUAGACUGCGAUAAGCUACGGGGAGCUGUCAAGAAGCUUUGAUCCGUAGAUUUCCGAAUGGGGCAACCCAAUGUAUAGAGAUAUACAUUACCUAUAUAGGAGCGAACGAGGGGAAUUGAAACAUCUUAGUACCCUCAGGAAAAGAAAUCAAUAGAGAUUGCGUCAGUAGCGGCGAGCGAAAGCGCAAGAGGGCAAACCCAGUGCUUGCACUGGGGGUUGUAGGACUGCAAUGUGCAAGAGGUAAGUUUAGCAGAACAUUCUGGAAAGUAUAGCCAUAGAGGGUGAUAGUCCCGUAUGCGAAAAACAAACCUUAGCUAGCAGUAUCCUGAGUAGGGCGGGACACGAGGAAUCCUGUCUGAAUCCGGGUCGACCACGAUCCAACCCUAAAUACUAAUACCAGAUCGAUAGUGCACAAGUACCGUGAGGGAAAGGUGAAAAGAACUGAGGUGAUCAGAGUGAAAUAGAACCUGAAACCAUUUGCUUACAAUCAUUCAGAGCCCUAUGUAGCAAUACAGGGUGAUGGACUGCCUUUUGCAUAAUGAGCCUGCGAGUUGUGGUGUCUGGCAAGGUUAAGCAAACGCGAAGCCGUAGCGAAAGCGAGUCUGAAUAGGGCGCUUAGUCAGAUGCUGCAGACCCGAAACGAAGUGAUCUAUCCAUGAGCAAGUUGAAGCUAGUGUAAGAACUAGUGGAGGACUGAACCCAUAGGCGUUGAAAAGCCCCGGGAUGACUUGUGGAUAGGGGUGAAAGGCCAAUCAAACUUCGUGAUAGCUGGUUCUCUCCGAAAUAUAUUUAGGUAUAGCGUUGUGUCGUAAUAUAAGGGGGUAGAGCACUGAAUGGGCUAGGGCAUACACCAAUGUACCAAACCCUAUCAAACUCCGAAUACCUUAUAUGUAAUCACAGCAGUCAGGCGGCGAGUGAUAAAAUCCGUCGUCAAGAGGGAAACAACCCAGACUACCAGCUAAGGUCCCUAAGUCUUACUUAAGUGGAAAACGAUGUGAAGUUACUUAAACAACCAGGAGGUUGGCUUAGAAGCAGCCAUCCUUUAAAGAAAGCGUAAUAGCUCACUGGUCUAGUGAUUUUGCGCGGAAAAUAUAACGGGGCUAAAGUAAGUACCGAAGCUGUAGACUUGCACACAACUUAGAUUAUUUAAGUUUAGAAUAAGUAGUUUAAGUUGUGUGCAAGUGGUAGGAGAGCGUUCUAUUUGCGUCGAAGGUAUACCGGUAAGGAGUGCUGGAG
rnacentral:rRNA from 1 species